rnacentral:tRNA from 1 species
AUUAAAAUAGCAUAGCUGGUCUAAUGCUAUAGAUUUAAAUUCUAUUAUCAUGAGUUCAAAUCUCAUUUUUAAUA